GCAUCCUCUCCUUUCACGGCCGGGGUGGCAGGGUGAGGGCAGACCUCCUGGGCUCUGUGGCCUCGCAUCAUAGAGGGCACUGUGCCGGGUCCACAGGCGGAGGGCAGCUUGACAAGCCUGAGCGCCCUGCCUUCCUGUGCUGCUGAAAAAAGGCAAGGCCCUGGGUGUGGUCGAUUGGCAGUGGUGUUGGUUUACUCAACAGUAAACACUUGUAGGAUUCGGGGACAAUCCACAGAAAUUUGCCGGUCAUGGAUCACACGAAGCUCACCACCUAGACUUCCAACAAACAGCACGUGAGGAAGGGUUUUCUCAUGUCUUUGCUCCUUAUGGAAGCUGUUCACCAGCGUGGCCUGCAACUUCUAACCCAGAGAAUUCACAGGCCACAAGAUGAUUGAAAACUAUCCAACACAGAGUGCUAAAGCAGUGGCCUGGGGGCUGCCAAGCUCCUUGAGGGAGAAAAUGAAUGAGGAAGGGAGAAGCCUGGUGGAGGCUGGUCAGAAGUGACAACAUUGUGAGGGUAAAAAUCUGAAUGGAUGGGGUCUCAUCACUUCUUAGGGCCAGCUAUAAAUUCCGUUUAUGAUGGAGCCAGGGGACGCGGAAUAAACCAACCAAGUAGAUUCUAGCUUCUUCCCCU
rnacentral:lncRNA from 1 species